GCCGAAGGACACAAAGCUGUCAUCAACUGGAUUUGGAUCAGAUGUGUAAGUCUGUGGGGGCCAAAAGGACAAUGAUCACUGCUGCAGGUCUGUACAUCUUCAGAGUAGAAACCUCUGAGCUGUGAGCUUUCAGUAGAGCCCUACCAGACGCCAAGUGCGUGGAAGCUAACUUCAAACUCUCUGUGAAGAAACCCAUUGUUAAGGAUUUUAGGUGAAAUCUUCUCAUUGUCUUUCAUUUAAGCUGU